rnacentral:rRNA from 1 species
UACGAAGGGUGCGAGCGUUGUUCGGAAUUACUGGGCGUAAAGGGUUCGUAGGCGGGACCUUAAGUCACGUGUGAAAUCCCCGGGCUCAACCCGGGACGUGCACGUGAAACUGAGGUUCUUGAGUACUGCAGAGGAUGAUGGAAUUGCUGGUGUAGGAGUGACAUCCGUAGAGAUCAGCAGGAACACCGGAGGCGAAGGCGAUCAUCAUGGGCAGUUACUGACGGCUGAGGAACGAAAGCGUGGGGAGCAAACAGG